GGGACUAGAUGAGAAGCUCCCUGAAGUUCCUUCCAUUGAAGUUGAUGUAUGGGAAUAUUGGCUCGAGGAAGAGAAAAAAUAAUUUCUGGUGACUAUAACAAGUCAUCACCUCAUCUUUUUUGUUGACAAGGGAAUCCGCAGCCGCUAUCCGAAGGUGCGCAUUAGGUAAACCCCACCUUGUGAUCCUAGUCGGCGAAGGACCACAAGGAGGUAAACUAGCUUAGGUUACACAUAGCUGACCGGCUCAAACCAAGAAGGCCAAUAGGCAGCUCCAACGGGAAUCGAACUAGCAACCUCACAAUUACUAAUCCAACUGCCCGACCAACUUGGCUGGGGUUGCCGCCCAAUCAUCACCUCAUCUUUCUAACUAGCAUAGUGGUUUAGGAUUUUGAUUUUAUAUCUUUGAAAGUUUUAUUCUUUGAAUUUAGAGACCUUAAAAGGUUUAGGAUUU
rnacentral:lncRNA from 1 species